rnacentral:rRNA from 1 species
UACGUAGGGUGCGAGCGUUGUCCGGAAUUAUUGGGCGUAAAGAGCUUGUAGGCGGUUUGUCGCGUCUGCUGUGAAAAUCCGGGGCUCAACCCCGGACUUGCAGUGGGUACGGGCAGACUAGAGUGUGGUAGGGGAGACUGGAAGUUCCUGGUGUAGCGGUGAAAUGCGCAGAUAUCAGGAGGAACACCGAUGGCGAAGGCAGGUCUCUGGGCCACUACUGACGCUGAGAAGCGAAAGCAUGGGGGAGCGAACAGG